GUUGGGUAGGGGAGCGUUCUGUAAGCCUGUGAAGGUGUGCUGUGAGGCAUGCUGGAGGUAUCAGAAGUGCGAAUGCUGACAUAAGUAACGAUAAUGCGGGUGAAAAACCCGCACGCCGGAAGACCAAGGGUUCCUGUCCAACGUUAAUCGGGGCAGGGUGAGUCGACCCCUAAGGCGAGGCAGAAAUGCGUAGUCGAUGGGAAACGGGUUAAUAUUCCCGUACUGGUGAUAAUUGCGAUGGGGGGACGGAGAAGGCUAGGCUAUCCGGGCGACGGUUGUCCCGGUUUAAGGAUGUAGGCAGGUGAAUUAGGCAAAUCCGGUUCACUAUAUGCUGAGGUCCGAUGACGAGUCACUACGGUGAUGAAGUAGCUCAUGCCCCGCUUCCAGGAAAAGCCUCUAAGCUCUAGAUUAUCAUUAAUCGUACCCCAAACCGACACAGGUGGUCAGGUAGAGAAUACUCAGGCGCUUGAGAGAACUCGGGUGAAGGAACUAGGCAAAAUGGUGCCGUAACUUCGGGAGAAGGCACGCUGGCAUUAGGUGAAGUGAUUUACUCAUGGAGCUGAAGCCAGUCGCAGAUACCAGCUGGCUGCAACUGUUUAUUAAAAACACAGCACUGUGCAAACACGAAAGUGGACGUAUACGGUGUGACGCCUGCCCGGUGCUGGAAGGUUAAUUGAUGGGGUUAUCCGUAAGGAGAAGCUCUUGAUCGAAGCCCCAGUAAACGGCGGCCGUAACUAUAACGGUCCUAAGGUAGCGAAAUUCCUUGUCGGGUAAGUUCCGACCUGCACGAAUGGCGUAAUGAUGGCCAGGCUGUCUCCACCCGAGACUCAGUGAAAUUGAACUCGCUGUGAAGAUGCAGUGUACCCGCGGCAAGACGGAAAGACCCCGUGAACCUUUACUAUAGCUUGACACUGAACAUUGAGCCUUGAUGUGUAGGAUAGGUGGGAGGCUUYGAAGCGUGGACGCCAGUCUGCRUGGAGCCAACCUUGAAAUACCACCCUUUAAUGUUUGAUGUUCUAACGUUGCCCCAUUAUCUGGGGUGCGGACAGUGUCUGGUGGGUAGUUUGACUGGGGCGGUCUCCUCCCAAAGAGUAACGGAGGAGCACGAAGGUUGGCUAAGCAUGGUCGGACAUCAUGCGGUUAGUGCAAAGGCAUAAGCCAGCUUGACUGCGAGAGUGACGGCUCGAGCAGGUACGAAAGUAGGUCUUAGUGAUCCGGUGGUUCUGAAUGGAAGGGCCAUCGCUCAACGGAUAAAAGGUACUCCGGGGAUAACAGGCUGAUACCGCCCAAGAGUUCAUAUCGACGGCGGUGUUUGGCACCUCGAUGUCGGCUCAUCACAUCCUGGGGCUGAAGUAGGUCCCAAGGGUACGGCUGUUCGCCGUUUAAAGUGGUACGCGAGCUGGGUUUAGAACGUCGUGAGACAGUUCGGUCCCUAUCUGCCGUGGGCGUUGGAAGAUUGAAAGGGGCUGCUCCUAGUACGAGAGGACCGGAGUGGACGUCCUGGGGCUGAAGUAGGUCCCAAGGGUACGGCUGUUCGCCGUUUAAAGUGGUACGCGAGCUGGGUUUAGAACGUCGUGAGACAGUUCGGUCCCUAUCUGCCGUGGGCGUUGGAAGAUUGAAAGGGGCUGCUCCUAGUACGAGAGGACCGGAGUGGACGCACCACUGGUGUUCGGGUUGUCAUGCCAAUGGCAUUGCCCGGUAGCUAAGUGCGGAAGAGAUAACCGCUGAAAGCAUCUAAGCGGGAAACUUGCCUUGAGAUGAGUCUUCCCUGACYCUUUAAGRGUCCUAAAGGAACGUUUAAGACUAAGACGUUGAUAGGUUGGGUGUGUAAGCGUAGCGAUACGUUGAGCUAACCAAUACUAAUGAACCGUGAGGCUUAACCUG
rnacentral:rRNA from 1 species